UAUUGUAGUGCCUGAUUAAAGGGUUAUUUUGAUAGAAUAAAUUAUGUGAUUUUUCACCUUCAAUAU
rnacentral:tRNA from 1 species